rnacentral:lncRNA from 1 species
AUGUCCCAUUGGAUCCCGUAGGUGACCCCAAUGUCCCAUUGAUGUCCCUAUGGGCCCCAUUGGGGUCUUCAUGUCCCUUUGGGGUCCCCCAUGUCCCAUUGAUGUCCCCAUGUCCCAUUAGGGUCCUCCAUGUCCCAUUGGGGUCUCCACGCCCCAUUGGGGUCUUCCACGUCCCCAUAUGUCCCCAUGGGUCCCCACUGAGUUCCUCCAUGUCCCAUUGGGAUCUUCACGUCCCAUUAGGGACACUGGGUCCCAUUGGGUCCCAUUAGGGUCUCCAUGUCCCAUUGGUGUCCUCAUACCCCAUUGGGGUCCUCCACAUCCCCAUAUGUCCCCGUGGGUCCCCAUUGAGUUCUUCCAUGCUCCCAUGGAUCCCAUUGGGGUCCCCAUGUCCUAUUGGGGUCCCCAUGGAUCCCAUUGGGGUCCUCCAUCUCCCACUGAUGUCUCCAUGGGUCCCAUUGUGUUCCCCAUGUCCCGUUGGGGUCCUCCAUGUCCCGUUGGGUCCCCAUGGUGUCCCCAUAUCCCACUGGGGUCUCCACAUCCCCAUAUGUCCCCAUGGAUCCCAUUGGGGUCCUCCAUGUCCCAUUGGGUUCUUCAUGUCCCUUUGGGGUCCUCCAUGUCCCUCUGGGGUCUCCGUGUCCCCAUAUGCACCCAUGGGUCCCCACUGAGUUCCUCCAUGUCUCCUUGGGGUCUCCAUGCCCCCAUGGGUCCCAUUGGGAUCUUCGUGUCCCAUUGGGUCCCCAUUGGGUCUCCAUGUCCCACUGAUGUCCCCAUGGGUCCCACUGAGGUCCUCCACGUCCCCAUGUCAUCAAUCACUCUUUUAUUGAACACCUCCUACAAAAAGCCCCCCAAAGACCCCCAUAAUCCCCCCCAUCCCUCCCAUAUCCCCCCCAUAACCCCCCCAGCCCCCCAACUCACUCCCACUGAGCGAUGGCCGCCAUCAUGGCCACCCCGGCCAGCAGCGCGGCCAGCUGCAGCAGGGACUGCAUGGGGACGUCCCAUUGGGGUCCUCCGUGUCCCAUUGGGGUCUUCAUGUCCCACUGACGUCCCCAUGGAUCCCAUUGGGGUCCCUCAUGUCCCACUGAUGUCCCCAUGGGUCCCACUGAGGUCCUCCACGUUCCCACGUCAUCGAUCACUCUUUUAUUGAACACCUCCUACAAAAAGCCCCCCAAAGACCCCCAUAAUCCCCACAUCCCUCCCAUAUCCCCCCAAAGACCCCCCCAGCCCCCC